rnacentral:rRNA from 1 species
UGUAAGCGUAUACCAAAGUUGUUGCAGUUAAAACGCUCGUAGUCGGAAUUUGGCAGUUCCGGAUGUGUGCACGUCGUGUGCGCACUUCGCGGGGAUUGCUUUUGUGGUCUUGCGUAGGAUGAGGCACUUUUAUUAGUGAACGUCCUCACGCAACCACUUUUUACUGUGAGAAAAUCAGAGUGCUCAAAGCAGGCAUUUGCCGUGAAUGUAUUAGCAUGGAAUAAUAGAAUAGGGCUUGGUUCUAUUUUGUUGGUUUGUUGGGACUGAGUAAUGAUUAAGAGGGACAGUUGGGGGCAUUUGUAUUUCGGUGCUAGAGGUGAAAUUCUUAGAUUACCGAAAGACAAACUGCUGCGAAAGCGUCUGCCAAGGAUGUUUUCAUUGA